rnacentral:misc_RNA from 1 species
GAUGAAGAACGUAGCGAACUGCGAUAAGUAAUGUGAAUUGCAGAAUUCAGAGAAUCAUCGAGUCUUUGAACGCACAUUGCGCCCCCUGGUAUUCCGGGGGGCAUGCCUGUCCGAGCGUCAUUGCUGCCCUCAAGCACGGCUUGUGUGUUGGGCCUCCGUCCUCCUCCCGGGGGACGGGCCCGAAAGGCAGCGGCGGCACCGCGUCCGGUCCUCGAGCGUAUGGGGCUUCGUCACCCGCUCUUGUAGGCCCGGCCGGCGCUUGCCGACACAUCAAUCUUUUUUCCAGGUUGACCUCGGAUCAGGUAGGGAUACCCGCUGAACUUAAGCAUAUCAAUAAGCGGAGGA